rnacentral:rRNA from 7 species
AAAUUGAAGAGUUUGAUCAUGGCUCAGAUUGAACGCUGGCGGCAGGCCUAACACAUGCAAGUCGAACGGUAGCACAGAGAGCUUGCUCUCGGGUGACGAGUGGCGGACGGGUGAGUAAUGUCUGGGAAAC